CAGUCGUACCUAUGGGUAAUCAGCCUUUUGGGUGUGAUUUUGUGGAGCGUGAGGAGUUAAACGCCUUCAUGCCUGCAUAUUCGUGCACUUUGGGUGUACUUGCCCGUGUGUAAGUUAACAUCAAUUUUGGUGGUCAUAAAAUGGCUGGAGGAAUGUAGCUUCGAUCUUGUAUUGAAGUGUUAUAGCCUUCGGUAGAUGUGACGAUCGGGAUUGAGGAUUGCAACGGGAUACCCCUUCGGGCUACCUGUCUGAUCUCUGAUUGUUGCUCUGGUGCCGAAAGCUUGCUUACGGUUAUCAAAGUCGAUGGUCAAUAGGUUAGAAUGGGUUAAAUCGUUAAGGAUGUUGACGUAAUGGCUUUAAACG
rnacentral:rRNA from 1 species